rnacentral:rRNA from 1 species
CAGGACGAACGCUGGCGGCGUGCUUAACACAUGCAAGUCGAACGGUGAACCAGAGCUUGCUCUGGGGAUCAGUGGCGAACGGGUGAGUAACACGUGGGCAACCUGCCCCAGACUCUGGGAUAACCUCGGGAAACCGAUGCCAAUACCGGAUACGACCACUUCGGACAUCCGACGGUGGUGGAAAGUUUUUCGGUCUGGGAUGGGCCCGCGGCCUAUCAGCUAGUUGGUGGGGUAAUGGCCUACCAAGGCGACGACGGGUAGCCGGCCUGAGAGGGCGACCGGCCACACUGGAACUGAGACACGGUCCAGGCUCCUACGGGAGGCAGCAGUGGGGAAUAUUGCACAAUGGGCGAAAGCCUGAUGCAGCGACGCCGCGUGAGGGACGACGGCCUUCGGGUUGUAAACCUCUUUCAGCAGGGACGAAGCGAAAGUGACUGUACCUGCAGAAGAAGCACCGGCUAACUACGUG